GCCAUCCUUUCCUUGGGGCUGUGCUACUGUCCAAUGCGCGCAUAGUGAGGGAAGUACUGCUAACCCUAAACACACCCACAUCAACCACAGCUUUGCUUUACAUUGGUGCAAUUUUUAGAAAA